CACGCCGUAAACUAUGGAUACUAGCUGUUGGAGGUAUCGACCCCUCCAGUAGCGAAGCUAACGCGUUAAGUAUCCCGCCUGUGGANAUAAACGAAGAACCUUACCAGGGUUUGACAUCCCUUGAAUUUUGUCGAAAGACGAGAGUGCUUUAUUGAACAAGGUGACAGGUGA
rnacentral:rRNA from 1 species